AUCUUCGGGGUAAGGUGAAAUUCCUGACCGGCGGUGAUUGUUAUCUGCGGAUAACACGAGCCCGCGACUCUCCAGUCUAUCUAACGAUGAGAUUGGUGACUGAUCUGGUGAAAUUCCAGAGCCGACGGUAAAGUCCGGAUGGGAGAAGAU
rnacentral:ncRNA from 1 species